rnacentral:rRNA from 1 species
GACGAACGCUGGCGGCGUGCUUAACACAUGCAAGUCGAACGGAAAGGCCCUGCUUUUGUGGGGUGCUCGAGUGGCGAACGGGUGAGUAACACGUGAGUAACCUGCCCUUGACUUUGGGAUAACUUCAGGAAACUGGGGCUAAUACCGGAUAGGAGCUCCUGCUGCAUGGUGGGGGUUGGAAAGUUUCGGCGGUUGGGGAUGGACUCGCGGCUUAUCAGCUUGUUGGUGGGGUAGUGGCUUACCAAGGCUUUGACGGGUAGCCGGCCUGAGAGGGCGACCGGCCACAUUGGGACUGAGAUACGGCCCAGACCCCUACGGGAGGCAGCAGUGGGGAAUAUUGCACAAUGGGCGGAAGCCUGAUGCAGCAACGCCGCGUGCGGGAUGACGGCCUUCGGGUUGUAAACCGCUUUCGCCUGUGACGAAGCGUGAGUGACGGUAAUGGGUAAAGAAGCACCAGCUAACUACGUG